UACGUAGGGGGCAAGCGUUGUCCGGAUUUAUUGGGCGUAAAGAGCUCGUAGGCGGUCUGUCGCGUCUGCUGUGAAAACUCAGGGCUUAACCCUGAGCUUGCAGUGGGUACGGGCAGACUAGAGUGCGGUAGGGGAGACUGGAAUUCCUGGUGUAGCGGUGAAAUGCGCAGAUAUCGUCAAGAACACCGAUAGUGAAGACAGCUUACCAAGCUUCAACUGACGCUGAGGCACGAAAGUGUGGGGAUCAAACAGG
rnacentral:rRNA from 1 species